GAUGAUCAGCCGUUCCCACAAUGCACCGCGAAGCGACGAGCAUGGCCGACGUUUCCUUAGUAGUGUCAACCAAACGAGAAUGAAUGUGCUUCCUUUAAGCGAUUCCAGCUGAUUUUUUUUUCCGAAAACAUUCCAAUCUCGAAGUCUGUGAAGGGGAUCCGCCAGAUUAUGAUUUUAUAGCGGCGCCGUGAGGAGUCGUCUAAUCUCUGCGUUUAUUUUCGCGCCUUCCUGUGACAGCUAACCAGAGCCAAGAUGGCAGGAGUUGUAGCCAAGCGUGAGGGACCUCAGUUCAUCAGUGAAGUAGCUGUGAGGGGGAACGCCGCCGUGCUGGACUACUGCCGCACCUCUGUGUCUGCUCUGUCCGGAGCAACAGCCGGCAUCCUUGGGCUGACUGGACUGUAUGGCUUCAUUUUUUAUUUCCUUGCCUCUUUUCUCCUCUCUCUACUGCUCAUUUUGAAGGCGGGACGGCGGUGGAACAAGUGCUUUAAAUCACGGCGGCUGCUCUUCACCGGGGGCCUCGUCGGGGGUCUUUUCACUUACGUCCUGUUCUGGACUUUCCUCUAUGGAAUGGUGCAUGUGUACUAAAAUGAUACAACGCUAAUAACCUUGAAAUUAAACCUAUCUAAUGCUAUGUAAACCGAUGUCUGCCCUGCUGUUUGUAGAUAAGACUUUGGUAAAAUAAUUUAGAUUUUCUCCAUUAUGAACUGUUGAUUUGAUGGAGGAUGUUUCAGUAAUAAGAUGAUGAAGAACAACCUGUCCUUACUUUCGUCCCGCACCAACAUGCAUAUGGACUUAUUUAACCUGUAACUCCUGCUUUGUGAUCAUGAUAAUCCAUAUCAGGAUAAGAGCCAUAGUUAGGAUAGUUAAGGUUGUAGUGUAACAUAGAUCAGAUUACAUCCUAAUAAAGUGUAAUUACAUCACAUUAUAAUUUAAUUAAAACAAAUCUGAGUACUGAUUUAAAUAAAUACCUCUGAACAAUG